rnacentral:rRNA from 1 species
ACUUCUGCGAAGCAUCUGCCAGGAUGUUUUCAUUAAUCAAGAACGAAAGUUAGGGGAUCGAAGACGAUCAGAUACCGUCGUAGUCUUAACCAUAAACGAUGCCGACCAGCGAUUAGGAGACGUUGAAUACAAAACACCACCAUCGGCGCGGUCGUCCUUGGCGUCUGUGUCCCUUUCAACGGGGGCAUGGGGCGAGGGCGGUUUAGCCCGGUGGCACCGGUGAAUGACUCCCUAGCAGCUGGUAAGAA